GAGUUUGAUCCUGGCUCAGGACGAACGCUGGCGGCGUGCUUAACACAUGCAAGUCGAACGAGGAUAUGCCAGAGGAGAGCUUCGGCAGGAAUCAGGCAUAUUCGAGUGGCGGACGGGUGAGUAACGCGUGAGCAACCUGUCCCAGACAGGGGGAUAACACUUGGAAACAGGUGCUAAUACCGCAUAAGACCACGGUAUCACAUGGUAGUGGGGUAAAAGGAGCAAUCCGGUUUGGGGUGGGCUCGCGUCCGAUUAGAUAGUUGGUGAGGUAACGGCCCACCAAGUCGACGAUCGGUAGCCGACCUGAGAGGGUGAUCGGCCACAUUGGAACUGAGAGACGGUCCAAACUCCUACGGGAGGCAGCAGUGGGGAAUAUUGGGCAAUGGGCGAAAGCCUGACCCAGCAACGCCGCGUGAGUGAAGAAGGCCUUCGGGUUGUAAAGCUCUGUUAUAGUUGACGAAGGAAGUGACGGUAGGCUAUAAGGAAGCCCCGGCUAACUACGUGCCAGCAGCCGCGGUAAUACGUAGGGGGCGAGCGUUGUCCGGAAUGACUGGGCGUAAAGGGCGUGUAGGCGGCCAAUUAAGUCUGGAGUGAAAGUCCUGUUUUUAAGGUGGGAAUAGCUUUGGAUACUGGUUGGCUUGAGUGCGGAAGAGGUAAGUGGAAUUCCCAGUGUAGCGGUGAAAUGCGUAGAGAUUGGGAGGAACACCAGUGGCGAAGGCGACUUACUGGGCCGUAACUGACGCUGAGGCGCGAAAGCGUGGGGAGCGAACAGGAUUAGAUACCCUGGUAGUCCACGCGGUAAACGAUGAAUGUUAGGUGUUGCGGGUAUCGACCUCUGCAGUGCCGGAGUAAACACAAUAAACAUUCCGCCUGGGGAGUACGG
rnacentral:rRNA from 1 species